rnacentral:rRNA from 1 species
UACGUAGGUGGCAAGCGUUGUCCGGAAUUAUUGGGCGUAAAGGGUGCGUAGGCGGCUCCUUAAGGGAGAUGUGAAAUCCCCGGGCUUAACCUGGGAACUGCAUUUCAAACUGGGGAGCUAGAGUGCAGGAGAGGAAAGUGGAAUUCCUAGUGUAGCGGUGAAAUGCGUAGAGAUUAGGAGGAACACCAGUGGCGAAGGCGACUUUCUGGACUGUAACUGACGCUGAGGCACGAAAGUGUGGGGAGCAAACAGG